AUUGAACGCUGGCGGCAUGCCUUACACAUGCAAGUCGAACGGCAGCACGGGUGCUUGCACCUGGUGUCGAGUGGCGAACGGGUGAGUAAUACAUCGGAACAUGUCCUGUAGUUUGGGAUAGCCCGGCGAAAGCCGGAUUAAUACCGCAUACGAUCUACGGAUGACAGCGGGGGGCCUGCGGGCCUCGCGCUAUAGGGGUUGCCGAUGGCUGAUUAGCUAGUUGGUGGGGUAAAGGCCUACCAAGGCGACGAUCAGUAGCUGGUCUGAGAGGAGGAGCAGCGACACUGGGACGGAGCCACGGCCCAGAGUACUACGAGAGGCAGCAGUGGGGAAUUUUGGACAAUGGGCGAAAGCAUGAUCCAGCGAUGCGGAGUGUGUGAAGAAGGCCUUCGGGUUGUAAAGAACUUUUGUCCGGAAAGAAACGCUUGGGCCUAAUACGGUCGGGGGAUGACGGUACCGGAAGAAUAAGCACCGGCUAACUACGUG
rnacentral:rRNA from 1 species